rnacentral:lncRNA from 1 species
UCUAAUUGAUCAUUAAUUGAAUCAAUCAAGGUUGCUCUGAUAUCACUGUUGGAUUCGGGUAGUGUAAUGGAAUAGUGGAUUUUAAAAAUUUAUGAUCAUGAAAUCCAUAACAUCCGAAACCCUAGACCCAAGAUUCCUUGACUAAUUGCAAUUAAUGAACAACUAAUAAAGCAAUUAAGAAGUAGUUUAGAUAAAUACCUCUUAUGCUAAAUUUUUAAAUCUCCACAGACACACAAGCAUAUGCCCUUCAUAAAUAAUCCACACAG